rnacentral:rRNA from 1 species
AGCUCGUAGUUGGAUUUCUGUUAAUAAUUUAUAUAAAAUAUUUUGAAUAUUUAUAUAACAUUAACAUAAUUCAUAUUACUAUAUUUUUUAGUAUAUGAAAUUUUACUUUGAGAAAAUUAGAGUGCUUAAAGCAGGCAUAUGCCUUGAAUACUCCAGCAUGGAAUAAUAUUAAAGAUUUUUAUCUUUCUUAUUGGUUCUAAGAUAAGAAUAAUGAUUAAUAGGGACAGUUGGGGGCAUUUGUAUUUAACAGUCAGAGGUGAAAUUCUUAGAUUUGUUAAAGACAAACUAAUGCGAAAGCAUUUGCCAAGGAUGUUUUCAUUAAUCAAGAACGAAAGUUAGGGGAUCGAAGACGAUCAGAUACCGUCGUAGUCUUAACCAUAAACUAUGCCAACUAGAGAUUGGAGGUUGUUCCUUACUCCUUCAGCACCUUA